rnacentral:rRNA from 1 species
UACGUAGGGGGCAAGCGUUGUCCGGAUUUAUUGGGCGUAAAGAGCAUGUAGGCGGCCAUACAGGUCCGUUGUGAAAACUGGAGGCUUAACCUCCAGACGUCGAUGGAAACCGUAUGGCUAGAGUCCGGAAGAGGAGAGUGGAAUUCCUGGUGUAGCGGUGAAAUGCGCGGAUAUCAGGAAGAACACCCGUGGCGAAGGCGGCUCUCUGGGACGGUACUGACGCUGAGACGCGAAAGCGUGGGGAGCGAACAGG